rnacentral:rRNA from 1 species
CCUACGGGGGGCAGCAGUGGGGAAUAUUGCACAAUGGGGGAAACCCUGAUGCAGCGACGCCGCGUGAGUGAUGAAGUAUUUCGGUAUGUAAAGCUCUAUCAGCAGGGAAGAUAAUGACGGUACCUGACUACGAAUCUCCGGAUAAAUACGUGCAAGCAGCCGCGGUAAUACGGAGGGAGCAAGCGUAAUCCGGAUUUACUGGGUGUAAAGGGAGGGCAGACGGUAGGGCAAGUCUGAUGUGAAAGUCCGGGGCUCAACCCCGGGACUGCCGUGGAAACUGUCCGGCUAGAGUGCAGGAGAGGUAAGUGGAAUGCCUAGUGUAGCGGUGAAAUGCGUAGAUAUUAGGAGGAACACCAGUGGCGAAGGCGGCUUACUGGACUGUAACUGACGUUGAGGCUCGAAAGCGUGGGGAGCAAACAGGAUUAGAUACCCUAGUAGUC